rnacentral:lncRNA from 1 species
UUGUGUUUGAGGUAUAGAUUCAUUUGUCUUGACAACAGCAAGCCAAGGUGGAAGAACACUGAACAAAGCCAGUUGGUAUCAAUCUGAAUGUAUAGGAUUUCUGCAAGCUUGAAGACGAAGGAAAAAGCAGAUAAUUAGCAAAAGAUGGGAUAAUAGUCUUCGGCUUCAAGGAAGGACUUCAUAAAUGCUCCUUCAUUGCUUAUGUUACAAUAGUUAUUAUUUCUGUGCUUGUUGUUUCAGUGGUCGUACUAAAGGAAGCCACAAAGAUAGCAGAGAAGAAAAUCUAGCAAGAUAACAUAUUAAUUGUAAAUGAUUAUUUGUAAUUUUAAUUGUAAAGGCCAUGCUUUGUCUUUUUUUUCUUUCUUCUUCUUUUUAAGAACCCAUCGAAAAACCACUGCACAUUUCAUUUACAUGAAAUGGGUGCAAAGAUAGGGCUGUUGGGGAGCCUAGCACCACUAGAAGUAACAUAAUAGAGGAGGAAUAAUGGGAGAGGGGGAAUCAAACAGGAAGCAGGGAGAGAUGAAACUUCACCUUGAUCGGCUCUUAAUCUCCUAUCUUUCCUUUACCCAAAGAGCGUCCUAAACACCACCAUCUCCAUCUCCUUCCUCCUAACAGGAAUAUCGGAUAACCUUUAACCUUCAAACCCCUCAUCCGAUAUUUCUGCAUGUGCUGAGUUAUUCAUAUAUAUCUCCAAAAAAAUGUGAUCAGUCCCUGAAUCACUCCCAGUCCUUGAAUCACUCCCAGUAUGUUGUUCAGUUAACACAUCUACAACCUAUACGCUUCUCAAUGCAAAAGCAUCGAAAUUUUAUCUUCUAUAUUUCCCGAUAUAGUUGAAUAGUUUUGCAACUAAUACUAUAAUAAAAAUCUUAUUUUUCUUUUGGAUAUAUGGCCUUGGACCUAAACCUAUUCUAGUUAUUUUUUUUAUUUUUUAUUUUUUUGGGUGAAAACGGCAAUUUCAUAUAACUCUAACGUGAGUGAGAAUUUUAGAGGGAGAAGUUUAUCUGAUACCGGAUUUUGCACAAGGUGAUAAAUGUCUAGAGUGACUUUUAACCAAGCCAAAAUCGGUGGUUAGAUGUCUCCAAAAAAAUUGCCACCAAUAAUAAGGGUUAAUAAAGCCGGAAAAUGACUGAAAUACCAACCCUUCAUUUGCUAAAUAUAAGAAAAAUAUCUAAAAUGACCUCUGAUGCAUAUUAUGUUGAAAUAGAAGUAUUAAGUUAUAAAGACCUGUACCAGUUUGUUUAGUUACACAUCAGUUAUGUGUUAGAAAAAUCUUAGAUACUUAUACAAGAUCAAAAAAUUCAAAUAAUAUUUUCUUGCCAGUAUAUAUUUAGUCCAAUAUCAGUUAUAUGCCGAGAAGAUUUUGGAUACUUAUAUAGAGUCAAGAAUCUUAAUAACACCAUUCAACUAACCUUUUUAGGUGAGGUUGCAUCUCCUUACAUAAGAACAUCUAAUUUUGGGAGUCAGUACAAAUUCUUAAGGCAUUAAUGCAUCACCUUAUAUGCCAAAAGUCUAUUCCAAUCAUGACAUGAUUUUUAUGAAGUAUUUAAAUUAUUAAAAGAAACUCUAUCCAAUCUAACUAUUCAUACAAGUAGGUGGGUGAUUAGUUGGGAUAAAAUAUGAUAUUUAUGCUUAUCGUGACAUUAAAAAUGAAAAAUAAAAAAAUCUAUUACUACUUGGCAAAAAAUUAAUACUAUUAUCUUAUAUAUCAAGAGUAUAUCUCCAUCGUAAUUAUAAUUUUAUGAAGCAUCCAAAUUAUUAGAAGAAGCCCAGUGCAAUCCUUCUACUCACACACAGAGUAGCUGGGUGAUUAGUUGCGAUAAGAUAUUCUGUAUGUGCUUAUGAUGAUAUUUAAAAUGAAAAAAACAGCUAAUAAAAGAAAAUUAAUGCCAUUACCUUAUAUACCAUGAGUUUAUUCCGACCGUAAUUAUGAUUUAUGAGGCAUUCAAAUUACUAGAACAAGCUUAGUCCAACCCACUUGUUCCCAGGAGCAGAUGGGUCACUUGCUGGGACAAGAUACUAUGCAUGUAUGCUUAUGGUGAUAUUAAAAAUGAAAGAAAAAACAUUAUGACUACUAAAAAGAAAAAAAGAAAAGAUACGCGAAAAGCUCAGUAGAGGUACGGCAUGGAAAGAGUAAAGUUGGCUAUGCCGUACCGGCUCCUGCAUCCGCGCCUGUUCCUCUAGCCUCCCGUUCUUUCUAAGAGACCCCUUAUCCAGCCUGCAGCAGAAGAAUAUAUGCACGCCAUAAACUAACAAGAAGUCGAAAGCACCCAUGAAAGCCUUUGUACAUACUGGUCAAUGGUCAUGGAACCCUCUCACAUCUGCCUAACUCCGCUGAGAGAGCUGGAAGACGCCAUAUCAAAGGAUGAAGGACAUGAGAAGCGUGAUGCCAAAGAAUAAGUUUCUGAGAACGCAAGGGCCAUAUCAUCUGCGAGACUGCCGUCCCCGUUGAGAUAUUGGAUCACCUGCCUCAUGGUAGGCCUGACCUCUGGAAUGGACUGAGAACAAACCAGUCCUAGCUUAAGUACCAGCUCAACUUCCUCCCUCGCAUAGGACUCCCCGAGCUUGGGAUCCACAACCUCCAAUAGCUGGCCUCUUAUUUUGGACUCCCUCACCCAGUCCAUCAGAAGUAGCUGUUCCGUUUGAGCAGUAGGCUCGAUUGGCCUCCGACCGCACGCCACCUCUAAAAGCAAUAUACCAUAAGCAAAGACAUCCGAACUGGCCAUGGGUUUGCCUGUGCGCGACAGUUCUGGUGCAAUGUAUCCUAAGGUUCCAACGACAAGCGUCGUGUGAGAAUUCUUGCCACGCUCGUACAAUCUAGCAAGACCGAAGUCGCCCAACCUUCCAUUCAUUUCAGCAUCCAAUAGAACAUUGCUAGACUUGAUGUCUCUGUGGACAACCACUUGCUCCCAUUCCUCGUGUAGGUAGACGAGUCCCAAAGCAAUUCCCUUGAGGAUCUUAAACCGUUGAUCCCAACUCAACAGCCCACACUUCUCACUUUCGAAGAGGAAGGUGUCAAGGCUGCCAUUGGGCAUGAACUCAUAUACCAGAAGGAGGUCUUCGUUUCGCUUGCACCAUCCUUGGAGCUGCACCAAGUUCCUGUGCCUCAUGCGGCCCAAGUACGCCACCUCUGCUAUGAAUUCUCUCACUCCUUGCCUGGAAUUACCAGAGAUCUUCUUGACUGCAACUUCUUCUCCAGUGCGUGGUAGGGUUCCCUUGUACACAAGGCCGAAGCCACCCGAUCCGAGGAGCUCUGUCUCUUUGAAUCCUUUGGUUGCCUUGUAAAGGUCCUUAUAUGGGAACCUACGAGGAUAAUCUAAUUCCCAGUCCUCAAGAGUCUCUGCAAGCUUUGCCCUCUGCCAUAAGUGCCAGGAAACAGAGAAUGCAACCGCCACCAAGAGAAGGGUAGCAAGAGAAGAUAUGACCCCAAUUUUGAUUCCAGAGGCUUUGGAAAUAGACGAAAAUUUCGCUGGUUGUGGAGGAAGGGGUAGGCGAGAUAGAUCAAGGGAGCGCGCCACUCCGUUGGUCCGAAAGCUCCAUCCCAAGAUGUAAUGAGAACUUGAGAGCUUCCCCGUCGAUGAAGAGAAACCAACAUACACGUAUUCCUUAAGAAUUGAAGACAGAUCGAUGGCGUAUGAUAUGAGAGGUCGGCUUGGUUUGCCUACAGAGACGGGAGAAAUGGCCACAUUCAGAAUUUUUGCAACACCAUCGUAGUCUAUCCAGGCCUGAAUUGGCUGCCCACUCUCCAGUUCAAAAUCUACCAUCUUGGAAUUACUGGUGCAGUAGGAGGCAGUUUUCGAAACAUUGGAAACAAGGCUGUUUAUGUCGACACCAACGUGGUUGCCAUCGAUGUCCUUCAACAGAUUAGAUGCCUGAACGGUAUCAAACUCCACCGCAAAGACAUGGUUGGAAGAAUUGCCAUUGUUCCUGCUAUUGAGGAGGCCAAGGUACUGGCAACAACUGCCUUCGAGAGCCUUUGUAGGGGCCACGGCGAAGGCCAAGCCAUGGCCGCCUCCGUUCCCAACAGCGAUGAUGUCGAAGACGAAAGUGGUGCUGAAGGAGAUUGUAGUCGGUGUCAUGGAGCGAGUGUUGAGCAGCAUUUGAAUUGGUGAGGAGAAGAAGGCAUGGCCCGUCACUUCUUUGGUGUCAUUGGUGAGCUGAAGCACGCCAUCGGAUGUGAUGCGAGCAGAGCCAUCUAAGCUCAGAUUGGUGGCUGAUUUGAAACCAUUGCAGGUAAAAUCGAUACUAACAGAGAGGGAAGAGCAGGCUAAGAGAAGAACGAGGAGCGGAAGCACGAUGGAUGCUGCCAUGAUGGCUUGAGAAAAAAACCGGGAGAAGAUAAUGGAAAUAGAGGGGCCUUUGCGAUGGACGACCUUGUCUGGAAGUCUUUUCGAUUGAGUGAGUGCUUUUUCGACUAGACAGCUCGUAUUGGCUUGGCCGUUCUUAUCCUUCAGCAAAGGCAACACUAAUCAGAAGGUGACAAGCGGAAAUGAAGUUUCCCACUAAGACGGCUAAGUGCGGGGUUCAGAUGGAAAUAAUUGCAGGCCAUCAAAUACAAGCCAAGACAACCUGCAAGACUUCCACUUGGAAGAUAAAAGGUCUUGGAAGGCAUCUUGGAGACUCCCUAACAAUAAGUAAUAAUUGCAAGGCAACCUCGGAGCCGUUUCACGAAAUGCCUCUUGUUUGGUUGGAGUUUUCAAAGAAGAAAGAUAGAAAAGUUGUAUUCCAAUGGGAAUAUGAUUCCCACAUUUCAUGGAAAAGUCUUUCCCAUGAGAAACAUGGAAAAGUUACUUUCCCAUGAGGUGGGAAUCACUCCUUUUUUAUUUUUUCCAAAAAAGAUCCUUCAACAUUAAAGAAGCAUUAAAGAGGCAUUAAAGAGGCAUUAAAGAACUAAUUUUUAUUAAGGGCAUAAUAGGAAUUAUACAUAACUUUCCUAGGAAAGUGGAUGGUCAACCAAACAUAAGCGCUUUGGAAAUUUGUCACUUUCCCAUAGUUAACCAAACAUGCCAAAAGUACUUUCCUAGGUAUCCUCUUCCUAAGAAUCUGAUUCCCAGGAAUCAUAUUCCUAGGAGGAAAAAUACUUCCCGCGAACCAAACGAGCCUUAUUUAUUCAAAAGGACUUCCAUAGCAAGCGUGUCCAUCGCAGAGAGAGCUAGCCAGCUUGCUGAACCCCACACUUGGCCAUCGAAGUUUUUAAUUCAUUAGAUGUCUUUUCCUAGGCUAACAACAAUCUUAUGUUAUCACUAGAUGCCUUUUUCCUUCAGUUCAAGUUUACAAGCGAAUGGAAACUGUGGAGCAUUUUAUGAGGGAUUUCAUGGUGGAAGCAUCGGCAUCCAGGUAUCUCUUCGCUCUUUCAUGUCGUGAAUUUUCACCCGUCUGCAUGUUUAUAUCUUGUGGAAAACCAAAAUCUACAGUUCUACAUGCAUGUGUCAACAAAUUCCAUCUAUUCAUUGUGUAAAUGAAACUCGACCUUCGUUGCAUGGUUCAUCAGAUGAGCACUUGACUUUGGCCUACACAGGAAUCAGGGGCUGCAGUGAUCUGUGCAGUACGUACAAGAGAGAGAGAGAGGAAGUUGAGCCACAAUCUCAUUAGUGGGAUUCAUGAUCCAAAUCUCCUACUGAUGCAAAUUAUGUGAUGGACUAUCCAAAUUUAGAAUCCAGAUAGUUAAUCAUGUGUUGGGAUAUUUGGGAAGCUUAUGCAUCACACGAACACAAAAUGAUAACUGAUGAUGAUGCCAUAACUGGUGAUGAUUUGGCCUGUUAAAACCAGAAAAGUCAUGGUCCUUACACGUUUUGAUAUUGAUGGUUGGGAUUCUUGAAGCGUAUAGCCACCCAUGCUUUUGUUGCCCUGGCUCUUUCACUAUUCCAUAUGAUAAUGCAAUUAAUUUGACUUUAUUCGUAGUUGCAGUUUCCAAAAUUUUCGUAUUUAGUGCAGUAUUAUGACACUUUGCUAGGUGAUCAAUGUCUAAUUCUUCCUGUAAUAGUAUCUGAUUACUGCAAAUAUAAUGAGAGGUUACCUACAUAAAUCUUUCUGUACUACUUUAGAGUUCAUAGUUGAAAGUGAUAAAGGUGAAGAUGCAAUGUUCUUUUUUAAAUUUAUUCCUCGCAGCUUAAUUCUAUAACUUCAUAAACAACUUUUAUGACCCAUUAUGUUUUUCAGCCGGUCUUACAGGGCCACCAGUUUCACCUAAAUUGGUUAAGGUUUUAUACUGCUCAGGAGUCAGGACACCCCGAAACAUCAAUUACUUCCUGAACUACUUACAGAUUAUCUUCUAUUAGUUUCUUUUCUUAUUGCCACUUAUGUUCAAUGAUUUUAAGUUGUUAAUUAUAAAUGAUAUUAUAUUUCAGUGAAUUCUUUAGUGAUGUUUGGAUGGUAUAUCCAAUGCAGUUUUACUGCAUUAUAGGUUUUGCCUUUUUUGCAAUUUUAAGUUGUUAAUAAUAAUAAUAAUAAUAAUAAUAAUAAUAUAUUAUGUUUGGUAUAUCAUUUUUAAAUUGAGAAACAAAAACUCUUUCCAUGAUUAUAUAAAUUAAUAAAUUAAUGAGUAGUAGCAUUAAUUACAGAAGUUCGUAGGCUAGAGAUAGAGAAGGAAGAGAUGAGGCAAUGCCAUCAGACAAAGAUACAGUCCUUAAGAGCUCAACUUGAUCAGAUUAUAUCUUUAUUACAGAUAUUUAUCCCACCUCAGAUGAAUAACUAUAUCUAUUUUUAUAUUUUAUAUAAUUAUCAUGUAUAUUUUUGUAUGGGCUUAAUGAUUUAUAAUACAUUAUGAUUUUUGUAUUUUCAACUUCUAAAGUUUCUAUCUUUUUCUUACAAGUUUGCGAUACUUCUAGCAAUCAUAGAGUUGAUGAUAAUGUUGCUAUGAACCACUGAUAACCCUUAGACUUUUUUUUUGGCAUUUUAUAUACGGUGUAUCUUCUUAUGUUUUUUGAGUUGUAAUAGGCACUGAAUUAUGUUUGACAAUGUAAAUAGUUGCAAUUUUUAUAUAUGAUACAAAUGUUAUACAUGACUUUAUUAUAUGAUACAAGCAUUUUUUGAGUUCUUUUAUUUGUUUGUUAUAUGUGACCACUGAAACAAGUGUGUUUUGUAUAGGUUUUGCUUCUUUUUUCCUUUUUGUUUAAAAAAAAUUAUGCAAGUUGGUGACAUUUUAAAGCAUCCUGAUAUUCUAAAUUAGAUGAUGUUUUAAAGCAUCAUCAAAAGAUCCUGUAAUGACGCUAAUCAUCAUCAUUAAUUAGCGAUAAUGGGAAGCGUUGUUAAUUAGCGAUGCUAAAUAGCAGCGUCGGAAGCAAUUCUCAUGCCCCCCCACCCCACGCCGUGUUUAACUUCCCAAUGCUUAAAAACGUCGUUAGCCUAAAAUUAAAAUGGGCACGACCAAGAACUCAAGAAGCGUCGUUCCUUUUCUUUUCUACGCUUGCAAAGAUGAUGUUUCUUCGACACUUGCUGUAGCGUAGCGUCGGGGCAUAAUCUUGCGACGCUAUAUAGGUGACUUAAAAGCACCAAAAUGUCUUCUUUUUUUUUUGUAGUAUUUACACCAUCACCCACCUCUUUCUCUAUUUUAUUAGAGAUAGAAGCCGUCGCCCCCUUUAGAUGGCUGAGAUUUGGAAGCGCAUCCAUGGGAUGUGGAUGACAUGCAGUCCCGUUCAAUUGAAUGGAGUGGCGGAAAGAAACCAUCCAUGGGGUGGUGGGCCCAUGUUAGUGCAAGAUUAUCCCUUCUUUGCCGAUUGUUGGUCCGCAAAGCAUCCAAAUAGCCACCAAGAUGGUAGCUUGGUGCUAAAAGGGCUUGGACUCCACUUGAGUUAUCCGGAUUCGAAACGCACGGACGUCGAUUAAAUCAGGAGACCACAUGCCCCACGCCCGAAUGGCUCCGUGUGGAUAUGCUUUCCUUCCAUCAGUGCUGAGGUGGCGCUGGGGUGACGUACCACACGUAGAUGGCCCAGUGGGGUUUUUCAUGGGUUGGGGAGAGCACGCGGAAACUUGCGACCCGCAUCGAAUAUUUUCUAAUAGAAGGGGGCCCAAUGGGGGCUGCUACGCGGAUGGGGUUCUGCCCCUCCGCCUCCCCUCCUUUCUUUUACCAAAAAAGCAUCCAAAUACAUCCACACACACACACACACACACACACACACAUAUAUAUAUAUAUAUAGACACACACACACUAUAUUACAAAAUAAGAGAGUUGGACCAAUUUUAUUNNNNNNNNNNNNNNNNNNNNACACACACACACACACACACACACACACACACACACACAUAUAUAUAUAUAUAUAUAUAUAUAUAGACACACACCAAUUUGCACAUGAGAGAGAAUAUUUUCCAUCAAAAGCAGUGAUAUCAUGCCUUGAUCUUUAUUAGAUAUGUUAAAUAGACAAAAAGUAUCAUGGCCAAAUGUAUGACCAUAAUGGUGAUAUUUCAAACACUGAUGAUGAUAUAUAACAAGUUUAACAUUGUGUUCGCUCGAACUUGCACCUUCCAUAUGCUGCAACAAGCAUAUAAGAUAUUUUUUAGCGCAUCCUUCUAAAAAAUUAAAAGCAUCAAUAACUAGAAUAUAUGAUUUUUCCAAAGAAGAGGAUGUGGACUUUGCAUGUAAAUCAAUACAUAAAAAGAUAGCUUGUAACUUCCAAGGAUCUGAUUGAGAUAACAUUGCAUCACCAUCAAAUUUACAAUAGGAUUAUUGAGCCCCAUUAGCAUUGUAGUAGAGGUUAUACAAUACGGAAGCAUGAUUUUUGGAAGUGUUUGGAUCAAAACAAGCACCACCUGGUUGUAUAGAGCUACAAUCGACCAUUGUACAUAGGAAAGCUACAUCUUUUUCUAAAUACAACUCUGAAGCCUGAGGAUUUGCAAUGCACCAUGUCCUUGCCCGAUAAUUAAUAGCUAGACAACUGAUAAUUUAUGAUAAUAUUCUCAAUAGCUGGAAUUUGUCAAACUUCUCUACAUUCUAAAGCUUUCUCUGAUCCACAUCUCUAAUAGUAUUUAUACUAUCUCUUUGUUUGAUUGGGGUUAGAGGAAGUUUUCUAUCUGGAAUUGAAAUGUAGGACAUAACUGACUGAUUCUCCUUUGAAUAUCUCUAACUGUCUUCUUUAAAUCUCAAAAUACCUACACCAACCAUGCAAGAAAAUCAUGAAGUCUAGGAGGGAAGAUAAAAAGGCAUUGCUUUAUUCUUGUUGGGCCUUUGGUUGCUUCUCCUUGUUGGGAUUGUCAUUUUGGAAAUCUCUUGAAUGAUUAGAACUUCUCCAUAGCCAAUGACUCUUAAGAGGCAUUUGGUAUAGUGUGAUAACCCUAAUACUAAGAGUUAUGUGAGGAGGAGGCAACAAGAACAUCGUGUUUGGUUGCACCAUAGUGAUUCUAUGCGAGAGUGAUCUUAAAUCACCCCCACUCUUCAAAUAACCAUCCAACCCAGUGAUGAAAACCCUAUCCUUGAGGAUGGAUAUCCAAGAUCAUUCCAAGGCAGUGAUCAUAGGCUGCAAUUUAGGACAAAAAUAUCCCUCACUCCAAUAAAAAAUUUAAUAAUUAUAUCAAUAAAAAAUUUAAUAUCAAUAAUUCAUAAUUGAUAUAUUAUAUCAAUAAUUUAUAUUGCAUUAUAUUGAUAUUACGUAUAUAGUAUUUAUGAUAUAUUAUAUUAUAGUAUAUUAUUAAUCAUAUUACUCUCAUAUUAUUAUUCAACUAUUUUUUAUAAUUAAACAAAAAUAUAGUAUUAUAUUUUAUAUUUAUGUUAUAAAAUUAUUUAAUAUUACUUCUAUUUACCUUAUUUUUUUAAUCAAAUAAAUAUUAAUAUUAAACUAAUAAUAUAUUAUAUGUAUAAAUAAAAUUAUUAAUUUUAUAAUAACAAUUAAUAUAUUUUAUAAUAUUAAUAAUUUAUAUGAUUAAUAAAUAUAUUAUUAUGGAAUUAUUAUUAGUUAAUAUAUUAAUGAAUAUAUCAAUAAUUUAUUAUAAUAUAUUUUUAUAUGAUUAAAAAAUAUAUUUUUGUGGAAUAUAUCAGGGAUAGUUUUGGUACUAUAUGUUCAGUGAUUUUGGAUUUUCAUAGAAUACCAAACAGUUACUUGUGGAUAUUCAGCGGCCUUAUUCUUUAGAAAACAGUAUAUCAAACAUGGUGAUCUUAGAUUAUUGGGGGAUCAGUAUUACNNNNNNNNNNNNNNNNNNNNACCAAUGAUCGAUCUAAGUUCACCUUAGUGAUCCCAUUUGGAUCACUAAUUGCCAGCUUAACAUCUAACAAGCUACUGCACGAACACCAAAUUUACAUGUAGGGAUAAGAGAUGGAUGGUACUGUUGCAAAGUUGGAAGGAACUAGAGCUGAGUAUCAAGGGCAGCAAACUAUAUAUUAUGCAUACACUAUACAAUGGCGAGGUGAGAAAGGGUGACAAGGAAGAGCUGCGCACAGGCAUGCGCAUAAAUUGCAAGAUCUUUUCCUUGUUUUCUUAGGUCAAAGAGAUAAAAGAGUCGGCCUUCAGUCUGUAGAGGACAUCCAACCAAUCUAACUGGACGUGGUAAUAUUGGUUUGGAGAGCUGUUAUAAUUCCAAUCAAAUCCUACGGCUGCAAAGGCUUGUUGAGAGUAGUUGAUUGGUUGAUGUCUAAAGAUUAGGAUAGAAUAGAUAUCUGAUGUUUUAAGGUAUUAUUUGAAGGCUUCGAUUGUCUCUCGAAAGAAAUUAUUAGAACUCCUGUAUAUAGUAUUUAAGACCUACGAUUUUUGACAACAUAUUUAAGGAAAAGUUUGGUCAGGCUAGUGAAAUCGAUCCUAGCCCGAUGCAACAUGACAAGCGUUACUAGGCCUGAUCACAACGAGGUUGGGCUGAGCAAGCAUUUUUGUAUUGUCGAAUUAUUACCAAAAUCUUGCUCCUUAAACUAGAAUUUCUUCUUUGGCAUUUAAAUAGAAGAAAAUUAUUAUUUUAGGUGAAAGGAUCCAGCGAUUUUGGAUGGAUCCUCUAUGCGAAUGUAGAAGAGUACUGUUCGAUCAAUACCGGCACCAUCUACUUUGCAACUGCACCAGUAAUCUGAUAUUCUGAUUUAUCUACUUUGCACCAUCGCCAGUCUCUUUCUCUAAUUUAUCAGAGAUAGAAGCCAUCAACCCUUCAGACGGUCGAGUUUCGGAAGUUCGUCCACACGAUGUGGAUGACACACGGGCCAUGCAUUGCCAUUCAAUCGAACGGAGUGGGUGACAAGAAACCAUAUGAUAUAUGAUGCUAAUAUGAUGUAUGUGGUGUGGUGUGCCCAAGUUAGAACAAGACGAUCCCAUUUAGCUUCAGUUAUGUGUCAGUUCUGGGCCUCCCUGAAGGACCCUUCUUUGUCUGAUGUUGGUCCGCAUAGCAUCCAAACACAUGUACAUAUGCCAAUUUGCACAUAAGAGAGAAUAUUUUCCAUCGAAAGAUGCUCCGACUUUUAUUAGAUAAGUUGAAUGGACAAGGAGUAUCAUGACCAAAAUAUGACCAUGAUGGUAAGCUUUAUUUCAUCAGAUAACACAAGCGGGGAGCCUUAUGCAUUUCCAAGACUGAUGAUGAUUUAUUCCAAGUUUAACAUCGCGUUUACUCGAACUUGCACGUUCCAUAUGCUGCAACAAAUAUAUAUGAUAUCUUUUAGUACAUCCUUCUCAAAAAUUGAAAGCAUCAAUAACCGGAAGAUAAGAUUUUCCCAAAGAAGAGGAUGUGGACUUUGCAUGUAAAUCAAUACAUGAAGAGAUUAGCUUAACUUACAAGGAUCUGAUAGAGAUAGCAUGGCAUCACCACCAAAUUUGCAAUAGGAUUCUUGAGCCCCAUGAGCCUUGUAGUAAAGGUUGAACAACACGGAAGCAUGAUUCUGGAAAGUGUUUGGAUUAAAACAAGCACCGCCGGGUCUUAUAGAGCUACAGUCGACAUUUGUGCAUAGGAAAGCUAUAUCCCUCUGUAAAUUGGUCUUUAGAGACAGAGGAUUUGCAAUGCACCAUGUCCUUGGCUGUAACAGUAAAUGCUAGCAUCUUAAGGAAAAAAAAACAAAAAAUGCAACCAAUAUAAAGAUGUUAGUUUUAUCACAACUACAUUAGUAUACAUCCUUUGUUAAAUAGUUCUACGCUUAGUUUCUUUUAGGCAUUUUCCAUUAAAGAAAAGAAGAAAAUGAAUUCUUUUGUAUGGAAUAAUUAGGAGAUUAUUGGGUGGAUUCAAAUAUACCAUAGUUUGUCAAUAAUAUGAACAAAAAAAACUUUUUAUUUUGUUUGUAUUAAAACAUUAUGAAUAAUUGUUAUUAAGUCAUCUGCAGAAAGUGGAUAAGUNNNNNNNNNNNNNNNNNNNNACACUCUCUCUCUUCUUUCUUUCUUUCUCUCUCUCUCUCUCUCUCUCUCUCUCUCUCUCUCUCUCUCUCUCUCCCCUCUCAGAGUCCCAACUCCAAACCAUGGAUGAGUACCACCAUACCGGGGGCUCUCCCUUUUUAUAUUAUAUCUGGGCUUCCUUUUGCCUCUCGAAGAUAUUCUUCUCCUUCUUUACAAGUUAUAACAAUAAUAAUAGUUUUGGACGAGAGUGGGGGAGGAGGGGAAGUUACAACGAGGGUGGAGAAGUGGGUGAAAGUAAAUGCGGUGGCUCACAAGUCUCUCCUCCCUCCGUAUUUUGCGCCCACCCAGCGGUGGCCAUCCGUUGCAAGCUGAAUGGUACCCAACGCGGCGCUCCCGAUCCGCCCUCGCUGUACCGCCCCCAACAGCAUCCCCCUCCGGCCAUGACGUGGCCCCCUUCCAUUGGCCGUCAGACCCGGGCCGAACCCUCGAGAUGCUAGGCCCCCCUACCCCCACACACAAAAAAAAAAUCUCCCGCAGAGGAAAAAUUACACGGAUGACCUGUCACUCCCUAGUAGUUCCACGUCAUCUCUGUAUUUUUCUCUGUGUGGGGUGUUCCAGGAGGAUUUCACGGAACCCGAAUCCCACCGCAAAAACAAACCGACUGAAUGACCACCCUUGCAAGCGGCGCUGCACGCUGUUCGAGGCGGCACACCGGAAUCGGAGUGCUUUUUAUUUUUUUCGUGUGUAUUUUGGCUCGCUCGUUUGUUGGUGUGGGACCCAAUUCGGAGACACGUGGUUUCGUCCCGGGGUGCACCUGAUUAAAGUUUUCUUUUUUUUUCUUUUUAACUUUUUAUUUUUUUGUGCUUUAAUUUUGUUUUUAUGUUGGGUCUUAAGGUAGCGUACCGAGUGGGAUGGCUUCACACGUUUUGUCUCGAUUCGUCCUUUAAACGGCGGGUCCACAUAUCUGGUGCUACGUGUCCACCCACCGAAUGACGUCAUCAGGCCUUGCAUCAGCUCCCAGUCUCUUACUGUUCAUAUUAGCUGUGCUAUUCCGCUUCGUGCCAUGUGUUCCGCCGGAUGUUUAUCUAACGGACCCUCUGGCUUCGCCUUUCCCUCUUUUCGGAUCCGGAUCCUACCCGGUUAGACCCAACUUGCCGAACCCACCGCAGUUAGCUUAAACAGGCUCAGGGAUAAGGUACAUAUCUAUGUAUAUAUGUAUGUAUGUAUGUGUGUGUGUAUAUAUGUGUGUAUGUAUGUAUGUAUGUAUGUAUAUGUGUGUAUAUGUAUGUAUAUAUGUGUGUGUGUGUCUAUAUAUAUAUAUAGGUCGGGGGUAAUUCAACUGUAUAAGCAAGGCUCGGGAUAUGGGGAUAUGGAUUUCACCUUAUGGGGAAUAGGCUGAAAGAGCAACAGGCAACCAAGACUUAUGNNNNNNNNNNNNNNNNNNNNNNNNNNNNNNNNNNNNNNNNNNNNNNNNNNNNNNNNNNNNNNNNNNNNNNNNNNNNNNNNNNNNNNNNNNNNNNNNNNNNNNNNNNNNNNNNNNNNNNNNNNNNNNNNNNNNNNNNNNNNNNNNNNNNNNNNNNNNNNNNNNNNNNNNNNNNNNNNNNNNNNNNNNNNNNNNNNNNNNNNNNNNNNNNNNNNNNNNNNNNNNNNNNNNNNNNNNNNNNNNNNNNNNNNNNNNNNNNNNNNNNNNNNNNNNNNNNNNNNNNNNNNNNNNNNNNNNNNNNNNNNNNNNNNNNNNNNNNNNNNNNNNNNNNNCAAGAAGGCAUGGCCCGUCACUUUGCUAGUGUCAUUGGUGAGCUGAAGCACGCCAUCGGAUGUGAUGCGAGCAUAGCCAUCUAAGCUCAGACUGGUGGCUGGUUUGAAACCAUUGUAGGUAAAAUCGAUACCAACAGAGAGGGAAGAGCACGCUAAGAGAAGAACGAGGAACGGAAGCACGAUGGAUGCUGCCAUGAUGACUUGAGAAAAAAACCGGGAGAAGAUAAUGGAAAUAGAGGGGCCUUUGCGAUGGAUGAGCUUGUCUGGAAGUCUUUUCGAAUGACUUUUCCGACUAGACUGCUUGUCUUGGCUUGGCCGAUCUAACCCUUCAGCAAAGGCAUCGUCAGAAGAUGACAAGUGGAAAUGAAAUCGCCCACAAAGACCGCUAGGCGUGAGGUUCAGAAGGAAAUAAUUGCAGGGCAUCAAAUACCAGCCAAGACGACUCGGAAGACUUCCACUUGGAAAAUAAAAAGUCUUGGAAGCUUCCUGACAAUAAAUAAUAAUUGCUAGACAUCCUAACAGGGGUGGUGCUUGCUGCACCCCACACUUAGCCAUCGAAGUUUUUAAUUCAUUAGAUGUCUUUUCCAAGGCUAACAACAAUCUUAGGUUACCAUUAGAUGCCUUCUUCCUUCGGUUCAGGUUUACGAGGGAAUGAAAACCGCGGAGCAUUGUAUGAGAGAUUUCAGGGUGGAAACAUCAGCAUCCAGGUAUCUGUUCGCUCUUUCAUGUUGUGAUUCUUUCACCCGUCUGCAUGUUUUUAUCUCGUGGAAAACCAAAAUCUACAGUUCUACAUGCGUAGGUCAACAAAUGCCAUCUAUUCACUGUCUGAAUGAAACUUGACCUUCGUUGCGUGGUUCAUCAGAUGAGCACUUGACUUGGGCCGACACAGGAAUCGGGGCUGCAGUGAUCCGUGCACUAUGUACGAGAGAGAGAGAGAGAGAGAGAGAGAGANNNNNNNNNNNNNNNNNNNNAGAGAGAGAGAGAGAGAGAGAGAGAGGAAGUUGAGCCACAAUCUCAUUUGUGGGAUUCAUGAUCCAAAUCCUGCUGACGCAAAUUAUGUGAUGGACUAUCCAAAUUUAGAAUCCAGAUAUUUGGGAAGCUUAUGCAUCACACGAACACAAAAUGACAACUGACGAUGAUGCCAUAUUAAAACCAGAAAAGUUUUGGUCCUUACACGUUUUGAUAUUGAUGGUUGGGAUUCUUGAAGCGUAUAGCCACCCAUGCUUUUGUGACCCUGGCUCUUCCACUAUUCCAUAUGAUAUUUCAAUUAAUUUGACUUUAUUCGUAGUUGAAGUUUCCAAAAUUUUCGAAUUUAGUUCAUGUGUUUUGAGAUCUUUUGUUCAUGAUCAAGGGUUUUUUAUUUAUGCCAGCUAUUCGCCUUUUGGCAUGUUAUUAGCACUUUAAAUACCAGUUUCACCUGAAUUGGUUAGGUUUUAUGCUGUUCAGAACACCCAGAAACAUCAAUUACUUCCUGAACUACUUACAGAUUAUCUUCUAUUAGUUUCUUUUCUUAUUGCCCCUUAUGUUCAAUGAUUUAAGUUGUUAAUUAUAAAUGAUAUUAUAUUUCAGUGAAUUCUUGAGGGAUGUUUGGAUGAAUAAUAGGUUUUGCCUCUUUUGCAAUUUAAGUUGUUAAUAAUAUAUAUAGGGUUUUUUGCAUGAAUAGCCUUCUUAAAAAAAACUUGCAUGAAUACCCUCUUAAAAUUUAUAUUUAUUUAUGUACCCUUAUAAAAUACUAUUUUUUUCAUAAAUGCCCCUAAUAUAAUAGUUCUUCUAACACCAUUAAUAAAAACCAUAUUUAUUUUAAUUAAAAAUAAAAUAAAAUUUGAAAUUAUUUUUUUGUCUUCCAUCGCGAUCGCCUUAUAAAUUAUUUUUUUUUUACAUAUCUACCCAUUAAGGAUAUUUUAGUUAUUUUAAUUUAAAACCGCUAAUUUUUAACGGUGUUAGAUGGCGUAGUACAUAUGCAAAAAUAAAAUAAAAAAGAGUAGAAUAGCAAAAUAAAUGUUGUAAGAGGAUAUAUAUGUAAAUAUCAAUUUUGAGAGUGUAUUCAUACAAAAUUCGAUAUUUAGAAGGAUAUUCAUGCAAAAAAAAAACCAUAUAUAUAUAUAUAUAAUGUUUUGUAUAUCAUUUUUAAAUUGAGAGACAAAAACCAUCUCCACUAUUAUAUAAAUUAAUAAAUUAAUGAAUAAAGACUUCAAGAGAUUGGGAAAUAAGGAGAUAAAACAUGAAGAAUAGACGAAGAGCGUUGAUGUUUUUAUUUGUUUUUUUAAAUUUGAAAGAAUCUAGCGGCUUGAAGACGUGGAUAAGGGAUGGUAGAGAUUUUCUUGAAAAUAAAAACAUCUAGUUUGGGAUGCCUUAGGGAAACCUCACAACUAAGAGAUAAAGGUGUAAAAUAAAUAGAGAUGCACAUAGAUCAUAUAUCUAACUUCUUGAUCGCAUUAUUUUCACAUAUAUUUAUGAAGAGAAUAACUAGGAACAUUCUGGUAUUUGACAGAUAAUCUGAUAUGAAAUUACCUCUUUCAUUAAUAAUAUGGUAUAGAUACAUAAAACAGUAACAUAUAAUUGCAAUUACAACCUAUAACUAGAAUUGCAAUCUCUGUUAGAGGCAAGUAAAAUUGCAGCAAACCAAACAGCCACUUAUCUUAUUACCAAUUCAUUUCCAGGCCUAAUCUGAUAUUGAAAUAGCUCAAGGAAUGCAAUUAGCAUGCCAUGAAUUACAUUUAGAAGCUAUGUGACAUGUCUAGUAAAACACGCAUCAUAUCCUGCAUAUUUAAAUAACUCGAAAUUAGUAGUUGUUGUUUUAGUACUUAAAAUAUUUCAUAGUGAUUCAGAAGGAUUCUCAGACUCGAUGUGACCACUUUGACCACUACAAGCAAGGCUGGACAGAAUGCAGGAGCGAGAUCUGCUACAUCGGAAAGUCUAGUCGCAGUCAAACUUUCGGAUACGAUGUCCGAUUGAGAUAAUCUUUUUUAAAAAAAAUCAGAUAUUUUUUCGAGAUCUACAACUAAGAUAUUGACUUGGGAUGAAAUUCCACUAUUAGGCCCCAAAACGGGCUGGCCAAACUAAAAGUUUUUUUUCGGAUAAGAUUUUGACCGGACGUAGCUCUCUAUCCGUGAAGAAUCAGGCAGAACGACAGGAGGCAGAGUUAAUGUAGAAGUCGAGAUCUACCUCCUCGAGAUUUUUAUCUUUUUUUUACUAGAGAUGCCUAUUUUAGAAAAAAGAGUCCUACUAAAAUUAAGAAAAGGAAUCCAACUCAAAUUGUGUUAAGGUGGAUCUUACAUUAUAAAUAAAGGCUAUAUACCUCGAUUUUUUAAGGACUCAUGAAAGAAAAUGGGUCUUUAAUCCCUACUUUCAUGAGUCCUUCCAUCUUCUAGUAAUCUUUCGAGAUAUUCGAGUUGAGCUGGUUGAAGAGAAUCUUCCUCCCCAAUCGGAUCAAGUUGAUAUCAGAGCUCCAGUCCUCUAUAUCUGUAAGGCCUCUGAUCAUGGUCCAAAUGCAUAAGCAAUACAAUCAAUCAGGAAAAGGGCAAUCUGUGCUUUAAAUACAUCGAAGGACAAAGGCGAGUAUGGCUAUUAGUUCUUCCUCGAUAGGUGAUGAUGAGAUAAAAGGAUGUCCCUUACAACUAAAGGAGAAAAUUGCCCAACUCGCCAAGAUCGUCUCAAGAUUGGCGAUAUCUUCAGUAAAAGCACCGACAACUCCUAUUACGAAGCUGUCUCCUACGGCUCGAGAUGAAGAGCCACUAUCCAGCGAGGAAGAUAAGGAUUAGCGAUCUAUGGGUUAGAAAAAUCUCUCUUCAAUCAUGUAAAGUUGAGACUCGAAUCGAAAUCCCUAUAUAUGAUGAGGUAGACUAGUUAGAGAUAUAUUUUAUUGUCUAUGGAUACUCAAGUAUCCAAAAGGUAGCUUCCGUCCAUCUCAAGCUUUCUAGCCAUGCUCUUAUCUGGUGAAAUUUGUACAUGAGGAACAACAAUGUUUCAAAUCUGACAUGGAACAAAUAUAAAAGCCUAAUCAAGAAGUAAUUCUGCCCACUCGGCCACAAGGAGGAUCUGUGGAUCAAGUGGCAGUACCUACGAUAGACCAGUAUGUCUAGAACUACAGCACCGAGUUUUACAAACAAACGAUCUCACUCGAAAUCUCCAUCAAUGAUCAUGCAGUUUUUAUAAAGUACAUCGGAAGUUUCCACAAGAGUAUCCGAAAGAAGCUGAAACUCUUUGAAGUUGAAGACAUCAGCAAAGCCAGCAUGAAGGCUACGGGAAUUGAGAAGAAAAAUCAGCCUAGAAAAGGUAAAAAGGGCGACAAGUUCAAGAAAAACAGCAAAAAUCCAUGUCAAGAGAGAGAGCAAGGAAAAAAGCACGCCAAUGCGACCCAAAAAAUUUAUUAUGAUCAUUAUAACCUCUGUGAACACACCAAGGAGAAGUGUUGUAAACUUCAUCCCGAGCUAUGGCCGAAGAGGAAGACACAGGAAGAAGAGAAUUCUAAGAAGAGAAAGGCAGUUCUUAAUACUAUAGAAGUUAAGAAGCUGCCUGAACUUGAGCAAACAGACUUCAAAUUAAGCCUGAUGGCGAGAAAACCUGAGAUAGCAACUGAAACAAAUUUAUAGGUGCGAGAAGAACUUUUCCGCCUGGAGAUCCAGUUGAAGCAGAGCAUUGUUGAGACUAGUGUAGAUCCUAAAAGCCAAAAGAACCUCAUCUGUGAAAAUCUAGUUCAAAAGCAAGGGUUGCGGACUAAACCUCGUCCACAUCCCUACUCUCUUGGUUGGAUUUAGAAGAUCGUUGAAUUGAAAAUUACUAAGUAAUGUACCUUCAAAUUUGUUAUAACUAAGAGGUAUAUCGACUAGGUAAUUUAUUAAGUUGCUCCUUUCGAUGUUUGCCCGGUUAUUCUUGGAAGCUCAUAUCUUUGAGAUCGAGACACAGUCUUUUACCGACAUCUAAAGAAGUAUCGAUUCAUAAAGGAUGGAAAGAAGUUUAUAAUCAAUGCCUCCAAAACACUAGAAAACAGACCUUACAAUUGCUGCCUAAGUGAAGCAACUUGUUAAUGCCUACAACAAGUUCAUGAUGAUAGUAUGAAAAUUUGAUAUUACUUACGAGAAAUUAAGCUUUCGUUCUUUGGUUCCAUUGACUGAUAUACCGAGAUCAAGAUUGAGGAGUCGCGAUAGUCGCCAUCAACGAGAAAGGACAGCAAGGAGCGUCCCUACCACAAAGUAUAAAUAUAGGAGCAAAGCAAGUGGUUUACUGAGACUCAAGAGUAAAGAAAAAUCAGGCCAGAAACCAUCUCCAAGCAAAGCUAGAUGGUUCAACCGCAAGAUAGGGAAGCGAGAGUUUCCCCACCUUCAAUUCGGAUUUAGUAGAAGCUAAAUCUCCUAAACAGAAAGAGCCCUAAUCCAAAGGAUCCUCAGACUCGAUGUGACCGCUACGAGUAAGGUUGGACAGAGUGCAGGAACGAGAUCCACCACAUCAAGAAGCCGAAUCGCAACUAAACUUUCAGAGGCCAUGGCUUGGACAUAAGUGCCCAAUUGAGUGAUCUUUUUUAAAAAAAAUUAAGUAUCUUUUCGAAAUCUACAAUUAGAAUAUUGAAUUGAAAUAAAAUUUCUCUGUUAAACUCCGAAAUGGGCUGAUCAAAUUAAAAGUUUUCAUUUCAUAUAAGACUUUGACCAGACAUAGCUCUCGAUCCGAAAAGAAUCAGACAGAGCGACAAAAAACAGAAUUGAUAUCGAAACAAGAUGUACCUAAUUAAGAAUUUUAGCUUUUUUUAUUAGAAAUGUUUGUUUUAGAAAAAAGUAUCCUACUAAGAUUAGAAAGAACAAUCCAACCCAAAUUUUUGUUAGAACGGAUCUUACAUUAUAAAUAAAGUUAUGUACCUUGAUUUUAAGGAUUAAUGAAAGAAAAGAAGACUUUAAGCCCCACUUUCGUAAUUCCUACUACUUUUUUAAAAAAAAAUUCAAGUUGAGCAAGUUGAAAAAAAAAUUUCUUCUCUCCAAUCGGAUCUCAUAGAUAUAACCUUACUUUCAUAAAAAAGAAAAAAACUUAUUUUAUUCUCAUUUCUGAUCUAGUAGCUUAAUCGUCUGGAGCAAUUAGUGAAAAGAAAUUUUCAACCACUAAUACUCAACCACCAAACUUCAUGAGCAACGUUGUGCACCUAUAAUGCAAGCAUACAAAUGCAUCCAUACUGUGAAUGGAAUCGAGUAGACAUGAAGAUAAGGAAUGGAUAUUUGACACAAAAAUUUUAAUCCCACAAUCAUCAUAGAAGUAAAAACAUAUGUUCGAAAUAUACAUCAUGUUCAGUCCUUUUUGUUUCUUCUACCUAUCAUGCAACUAGUUUCGGAAUGAUUGGUUUUGAAUACCAGACUGAAGCAUGGAUUGGAAACCUGCAUGGAACCCCUGUGUAUAUGCUGCAUUCUUCAUACUCAUCUGCAAUAAUAUUGCAGUCGGUUAGUUGUGAGCUAUUGAAAGUAAAGGGAAAAUACGGUGUUCAUAGUUGCACUUUUCAUAGUUUAUAUAUGGUGGUUACCAUAUGAGGCUCGCCCUCAGUUACAUACUCAACAAGGUUGACUCUAUAAAUUGAGAUCCAACAGAUUAUGUAGUUCAAUACUGGAUGUUCUCGGUGUUUUCCUUUCCUGCUCGUUUCAUGCAAGUAUCAUCCACCACUCCAGUCACAACAUCCUAUGAACUACUUUAACUUCUCGAAUUAAAUUAUUAUCACCAAAUGAUUGGAAAAUAAUUUUUAAAAAUACUGACAUCACAUACAGCAUCUCAUGAUUCCUUCAUGAAAUAGCCAAGAAUUAUUAAAGUAAUAAUACUAUUUGUUGAUGUACUUGCCUUUUUCCCAUGUUUGCAGGUUCAUGUACGGCCUAGCAUAAACUAUUGUUAUCUUAGAAUAUAUAUGUUAAAUUCUGACAUCACUUUUGGCUAAUGUUUAUAUUUUUCCUGAAUAUUAAACUUCCUCUCCCAAACAAAUUUCCAAAUAGCAGAUUUAUAUAUGGACAAUUGCUUUUCCCUCUAUGCUGACACUAAUACCCCAGUUUAGAUCCUUUCAAGAACUAGAGUCCAAUAUAAUCUCCUACCAUCGUCCAUGGAUCAAUAAAUAGUAGGCGAUUGAACAAGGCAGGUAAAUAUGAUGGGACCUGCUUGCAAUUAUGUCUCACUCUUUUCAAGCACUUGCUGUUGAUUGAUGCACAGCAGGUGAUUGAAUUAGACUUUACAGUUCAUUUUACAAGCUGGAAAGUAUCCUAAUCCCAAAUACAAUACCCUUUAUUCCAAUGUACUUGAAAGAAAGAGAGUUUUACUGUAACUUAACUAGGCAUUGUAUGUGUUAGUAUUUCACCAUGUUAUUUUCUGGUUCACUUACCGCUUAAUCAAAUGACAAAUAUACCCUUAUCUUUAUGCAAGUAUACAUGAAAACACACGAGUAAAGGAGAGGGAUAUUCGUGUCCUUAGGUACCAUGUAUAAAAUUUGCUCUUUCCACCCUUUUUGUAUCAUAGCUCUCCAAAUAUUAUAAAUUAUGUCCAUGAAGAUCACUUUACUGUUCCCAAGGUAUAAUUUCACAGAUUAGAGGCUAAAGUCAAUUGUCUUCUACAUAUAUCAAAACACAUGCAAGGCAGCUCAGUGCAUGAGGCUUCCGUCACUGUAGAGUUUGAGAGGGUCAGAUGUACACAGCCUUACCUCCAUUUGCGGAGAAGCUUUUUCCGAAUUUUGAACUCGCGACCUUCAGGUCACAAAAAAGCAACUUUACCAUUGCACCAAGGCUCACAAUGGAGCAAAAAGAAACUCAAGUAGUUCGGAUACUUCUAAAUCAUAAAGUAAAUGAUUUGCUCUGUUUUAAAAAAAAAUGUUCAUUUGGUGAUCUCAUAAUGCAUGCAUACUAAGUUUCAGAAACAUUAGGAAUCUAGGUUUUGGGCAUUCAUGACAAUGUAUCUGAUGGUGAACAGUCUGGGCUAUCUAUAUUAUGUCUCAUCAAUUAAUGACUAUAGGGCAUAACUGAGUUGGUUAUAUCUCGUGAACAUUAGUCAUUAGAUGUGUGUUCGUGUGUAUGUCUAUAAAUAUAUGUUUGUGUGUAUGCCUGCAUGUAUCAACAAGAAAUGGCCACCGUCACCAUAUGUCAAAACAGAAAGUACAAAUCCAACAUAUCAUACUUACAGUCAUGUUCUCCAAAUCAGACACAACCCGCUUUCUGAUUCCAUCCAAUACUGAACGUCCACGAAGUUCCAUCUGUUGAACAUUUGAAUUCUUAGACACCUAAAAAUUUAGUCAACCAAGGAAACAUCAAAUUCCAAUAGAAAGAAAAGAUGGUAAGAUGGUAAAGAAAGUGAUGUGCAUGGUAACUUCAAUUACCUCUGAUAAAAAGGCUGUGGAUAUUUUAUCUAUAAUUUCAUUUACAAAUUUUCCCACAUCAGAAGCUUCAGCCAAUGCGUCUACUCUGUUUUGAGUCUUCUCCACUGCAUUUUUCGGAAGAUCCGGCCGACUAUUAGCUUGUCCUUAACAUGGGAAAGAAAAGCAUGUUUCAAUGGAUGUGUGCAUUAAGCAGUAUUGGAGAAGACAUCAGAAUAAAUACGAAUAUUAGCAAACAAACAUUUAAUAGACAAAAUAAAGUACAUGUUCAAUGGGUGCUAAAGCAGUGGUAGUGACUUUCUAUAAAAUAUGCUCUGCUAGGAAGCCUGAUUGAUCUGACUGGUGUUUCUUCUGAGAGUUUUGAGUUUACAAAAAAUAUGUUGUGCUGUGCUGCUUAUAUUUUUCUUAUAAGUUUAGGCACAGGUAUUAUUGAUUUUUCCUUAGAUUUUAAAUCCUGCUUAAGGACCCCUUGGGAAAUAUGAAAUGCUCAUUAAAAGUUCAAGUACUCGCAUGGGCUUGCUUAAAAUCUUGAACCAAAAAGUUUUGGGAAAGGGAUGCAAGCUGUCUGUCCGCAUAAAUCCAAUGGUCAUCGCUAAUUGCUUCAGGAACAAAUUGACAACAUGGGGUAUAUUUUAGCCCUUCUAUUUCAGAUCCUGUAAAAAGUAAAUCUUUUUUCUACCCAUGACAAGAAAAUCCCAGAGCCAGCAGGCAACCCAUUUCCCCUCCAGCCCUCCGUAUUUGGCCUCUAAUUCAUGCCUCACAUAUGAACAUAAAAAUUAGGUAAAUAGAACAGCUGUACCCACUCUGCUUAAAUUAGCAUUGUACCUUUACUUUUAUUCAAUGUUUUAAUAUAUGGCUGUGGUAUAUGGAUGGCAUGGACCGCAUAAUGCAUAAGGUCACAUAUGCAAGCACAUAUACGAUUACUAAUUUAAAUAUUUAAACAAAAUCAGAUACAUUCUAUAAUAAUGGCAAUAAUUUUAUAAGUCAUAGCAAUAUUAAUAAUGCUAAUAUCUAGCAAAGAGUUAUUAGUACUUGAUUCUUAUUAGUGAUAAUUAUAGCACAAUUACCGCAUCUAUAUUGUUAAUAUACAUGUACCUAGCUCCCUUAAAACCUACAUCCAACCCAACUAUUAGCUUGAACCCACCUUACUCGCAUGGGCUUACAUGAGAGUGGUCAUAUAUGUGGCCGCACAAUGCUAAAAGAGCUGCAUAUGCGGUCACAAAAUGAUAACUAGGCUGCAAGUCUACCAAUCUUUUUUUGGAUGAGGUCUUGGGUUGUUACCAAUAGUAUCAAAGCAGAUCCAACCCAAAGCCCAUGUGAACUAGAAGAUACUGCAAUAUUGGUUGUUUUGCAAUUAACCACAAGUUGUUUGUAGUGCUUGUCAUUGAAUUUGAUUGGAUUUGGACCUUAAGCCCAGCAAGGACACCAAGGCCUAAAAAAUGGAGGGAUAUGAGGACCAAUGAGUGUAUGUUUAGUCCUACAUUGGUUCUAUACUAGGUGAAUUUAUGGCACUUAUAUAGGGCUGAGGAACCCAAACAAUACCUUCUAGCUAGCCUUUUUGGGUGAAGACCUGAUCAUUACAUAAGUAAAUCAUCUUUUCAGCCCAUAUAUGGCCCAACUGCAUGUAGUAGCUGCCUAUAGGGUAUACAGUGCAGACAAUGGAACAUAUAUGCAUAUGCAGAUACAUAUGUGGCCUUAUAGACUACAUUUUAAAACAGCGCUUUUAUUGCAAAGGGAAUUGCAUUUUUCCAAGUUAAUGUGGGACAUAAAAGCAUCAAGAAAAAGUGCAUCACACGGCUAACAAUGACGCAUUUGAUGCCCAAUCAAAUGACAAGGAUACUCUCAUUUCUUUCAAGUGCAUGUGAAUAUAGUAAGCAUUCAGAUGAUACAAGAGGUGCUUGAAAACCUUUCUCAUCUGUCCUAUUUGUAUUACAAAUUGUACUAACAUAUGUCCAAAUGAGUCUAGUGGAUAGAGCUUGGAAAGAGGAAAGAUUAGUCAAAUAGUAGUUUGACUGUAUGAGAGCAAUUAAGCAACUAGACUUUUCUUUAAACAUUUACAGUGACAUUUCAUCAAAACGUAAUUUCUUAUGAAAAAAAGUUUUACAUACUAAAAGAUAAUGGCAAUUUUCUGGUGAAAAUAUAAAUAAAACCCAGACUCAACUAGUUCCUUUCUAUAUCUGUAUGGGACAUAAACAUUUACGCAUGUGUGAUAGUGCAUCUAUAUUUAUGUGUACGGCAUGUGUGCACUUAUGUAUGCACACAACAAAAAUUAAAAGCUCCAAUAAGUAGUGAUACUCAAAUAUGCGAAGAAAAAUGUAGGGGGAGAGAAAAACCAAAAGUCACACGAAUUGAAGUCAUGAAAGUGGAUUUGAAAAAAUUGCACUCGUCAUGAUUUUAGCACCGAUUCUUAGAAGUAAGGCUUCAAGUUGACAACCAAUUGUAAAAUCUAAUCGAUCCUUUAACGGAGACCUCUCAACUUAGUUGUGCCCUGUGGUGGACGAUGUUAUAAAGGAAAAGGUUAGCAUGAUGACAAAAUGUAAAUCCUUUCUUAUGGAAAAAAGCUUUAUUCAGGGUGUUUGAUAUUGUGAGAAUGCUGUUCAAGACUUUUGUGUCUUUAAACAAAUAUCUCAUACAUUCCUCUCUAACUUGGAAAUUUUGGAAUUCCUCAAUGAUUUCUAAGAAAAUGAUGUUUUGCUGCAGAGCAACAGGAAUCACUAACAAUAUAGCAUCUACUUUUUUACUUGGAUUAAACAUUUGCAGUUCCAAUGUAUGAAGGAUUUUACAAUUUGUAAGAACAUAAGUAAUUGUUGUGAGAAUAAAGCUAAAUUCAGCAUUUGUCUGCGAUUUCGCAAAGCACAUCCAAACAGACAAAUUGAUCAAUUAAAAACCAUAUAAAAAUGCCAUUAACAAGAUCUGGGUGUAUGUUAAAAAUACCAUCUAAAUUAGAAGCUAUAACUAAAUCCAGCUUUAUUUUAGGAUAGAAAAAAAUAAUGCUUUACAUUCCAGCAGGUAUCUUGAAGCAUACCUAGACUGAGUUUUGCUGGGCUGCUUUUUUCAGGCGGGGGGUGGGGCAGGAGGGAGGGGGUGCUGAUAACAAUAAGCUAAAUAAGAAUAAUUCUAAAAAUAGCUGAUUGUGCUGGUAGCCUAUUUGGCAAUCUUAGUCUUUGGCUUAUUGGUAUUUAGCUUAUUUAGAAUUAUUAUUUUUAGAAUUGGUUAAAGAGAAGGUAAGAAAGAGAUCUAAAAAUAACAAAGACUGCCAAAUAAGCUAAAUAAUCAAGGACAAUAUGAAUUCUAAAUAAUCAUCCAAGUGUAUGAUUUUGCAUACCACCAGAUCUUAGUUAUUUUUAAGUUAGAAAUUUAGAAUUCAUAUUGCUCUUUAGAAUUCAUACACUUGGAUGCAAAAUCAUUUUGUUUAUCAGCAAGGUACUUCAAACAAAAUGGUCUACUUCGGAGUGCCUUCGAAUUAAACAUCAGUUGCCUAAAUGCUGUACAUUUUGUUUAUCAGCAAGAUAUUUUAAACAUUGUUAUAAGACAUGCAUCUCACUUCUUAGCAGCUUGUGUUGUGAUUGUUCAACAUUUCAUCAUUGAUAAAUUUCUUUUUCACAUUAGCUUGUUUUACAUUUAAACAUCGUUUGUAAAGAAAUAUUGUUGUUUUUCUUAGCUUGACGUAUCAUACUGUACUAAAAUAGGCUCUCAAAUAAGUUUGUAAACUUAAAAAACUUUUUGUCUAGAUUUUUAACUCAAUUCUAAUUUCUCACUUAUUUUAAUCUAUGAUAAGCAAUUUUAUUCUAAUAUUUUAGAUACUCUGACACACCAACAUCAAAUGUCUGCGAAUAAGCUGGUAUACUGCACAUGCACAAUGUUGUACCAUAGCCGCUUGCAUAUGCCAGCCACUUCUUAGAUACUUGAACAUAUAUCAAUUAGACAAUCUCUUUUAAUUUUUCAUAAAUCUUAUUAUUAAUACUCUUUCUAACAAAAUUUACCAACUAAAAGAAGGCUUUCUCUCUGCAAUCAAUACCUAAACACAACAAUUAGAAAUAUGGUGUCAUAUCAUGCAUAAAGAAUCUCAGUGGAGAUAAUAUGAGAGAUGGUCAUUGCAACAACUUCACCAUAGAUGAUGUAUUAAAAUUUGAAAUGGUGAUUUGAAAUAUCAAGAUUCAUUAAGGAGCACCCAAAGGCCUGUAAGCAC